rnacentral:rRNA from 1 species
AUUGAACGCUGGCGGCAGGCUUAACACAUGCAAGUCGAGCGGGGUGAUGGUGCUUGCACUAUCACUUAGCGGCGGACGGGUGAGUAAUGCUUAGGAAUCUGCCUAUUAGUGGGGGACAACAUCUCGAAAGGGAUGCUAAUACCGCAUACGUCCUACGGGAGAAAGCAGGGGAUCACUUGUGACCUUGCGCUAAUAGAUGAGCCUAAGUCGGAUUAGCUAGUUGGUGGGGUAAAGGCCUACCAAGGCGACGAUCUGUAGCGGGUCUGAGAGGAUGAGCCGCCACACUGGGACUGAGACACGGCCCAGACUCCCACGGGAGGCAGCAGUGGGGAAUAUUGGACAAUGGGGGGAACCCUAAUCCAGCCAUGCCGCGUGUGUGAAGAAGGCCUUAUGGUUGUAAAGCACUUUAAGCGAGGAGGAGGCUCUUUUGGUUAAUACCCAAGAUGAGUGGACGUUACUCGCAGAAUAAGCACCGGCUAACUCUGUGCCAGCAGCCGCAGUAA